UGUCACAUUGUGUUCUAGCCAAAGGAGACCAAAGGGAAAGAAAUAAAGGCGUUUCUUGGGUGCUCAUCGUUGUAAUUUCUGAGAAUGUUUUAAAGUCUUCUCCUGCUGUCCUCACUGAUAUUCUACUGUAAAGUCUGUGAGCAAAAGGUGUUUCGGGGCAGUUGAUAAACAGCUUUUCUCCACCAACUCCUCAAACCAGAUGUGGCCAGAUUCAGUGGGCUGUUCACUUCCAGCAGAGGCUGCUGCCACAGGAAGAGAACAUUUACAUUGUAAACCUGCAACAGGAAGCAUCACACUGGAACCCACCAGGAGACAUCUAAUCAAGGUGGAGUCAACCCACUGGAAGACAAGACACUGAACCUCAUGGGAUCAAAGUCAGACUUUUGAAAUAUAAAGACACACUCAAAGACCGUUACCUGCAGAGACAAGGGAAACCACCGCUUUGGAUUGUAUGGGGAUCUUGGCUAAGAAUUAGCCAGCUAUUGCUGAGCAAUGUGAGGAAAAUAUCUUGAACAAAGACUGUUCUUGUUAAGUUCUUCCACUGAGGAUUUGGAGUGUGCAUGGACUUCAGGGAUCUCUCAGAGUCAAGGGGCUUCUGACCUGCCACACAACCUCCUGGAAAGCACAGUUCCUGCAGAAGCCACACUUCCAGGGCCUUCCCGGACUACAGACACCCCCCGGGAGGGGGCUUACUGCCAACUCUAACAGUGACUUGGGAUGGCUUACCCCAUUGGCCUGGAGAAGAGAAUCUGCCAGACUCAACUUGCAGAACUGG